rnacentral:rRNA from 1 species
UACGUAGGGGGCUAGCGUUGUCCGGAAUCAUUGGGCGUAAAGCGCGCGUAGGCGGCUUUGCAAGUCGGGUGUGAAAUCCCCAGGCUUAACCUGGGAACUGCAUUCGAGACUGCAUUGCUAGAGUAUGGGAGAGGGAAGUGGAAUUUCCGGUGUAGCGGUGAAAUGCGUAGAUAUCGGAAGGAACAUCAGUGGCGAAAGCGACUCUCUGGACGGCAACUGACGCUGAGGCACGAAAGCGUGGGGAGCAAACAGG